AGAACAAAGUACAAACUCUCAGGUCUCACAAAGUGGAAGGGAGAACAGGCCAGCUUCUCUGCGCGGCAGGAAUAGCCUGUCAUAAAGAGACCUGCCCCGGCACACGCUUCCAACUUGAAAAGGGUGUGGCGAAGUCUAAACACCUACUGGGGCCAAACAGGGAGGAUGAAAACACAAGACCAGUGUGGGAGCAUCUUUGAGAGCCCUGGUCCAGGCUGCAGCCAGCUGACGUCUUGUAUCUCCACUGGGACUCCGUUGGACCAUACAAUCCCUGCUCUUGAUCUAAUAAGACAUCCUGAACCAAGAAAGAAGCCGGCGUCACCUGAAAAAUCAAAAAGACCUAAUAGAACAAUAAAACCUGCGAGGAGGGGGGAGAGCUCAGUCUCCGUGAGCCACGUUAAACUUUCGGAAUAGAAAAUGCUGCCUUGGACUGCUGAGAACAAACCCAGCGCAGUCUGAGGUGUAGUAACCUCGGCUGUACCUGAGAAGCCUCCGCAGCAAUCACUUGGGAGCUUCUGAGACAAGCUGAGGAUGCGGUCAAAUGCCACAGCGAGCACUGAGGGACCUGAGCAGUUGGUGUUUUGAGUCACUGUGGGUCCGGCACACAACCCACCGCAGCCUAC